UCCGUUAUGGUGUAGUGGCUAACAUUAUCGCCUCUCAUAUCGAAGAUUCAUCGGAAAGGAUGCGCGAUAGCCCAGGGUUCGAUUCCCUGUAACGGAA